AUCUGGUUCAGAAUUUAUAUCCCCAACUCUUCAUACUUGGCACAUUGUAGGUCCUCUGUAAGUGUUUUCAUUCUGAGUCCAUUUCCUUGUCUGAUUCAAUGUCUUCCACUGUAAAAUGGAGCUAAUUCAUUUAUUAGAGGAUUGCAGUAAGGAGUGAGCUAAUGUGCACAAAAAUGGAGUGCCCUGGAGGUGUUCGCCAGGUUUUGUGUAGGGAAUAUUUUUGCUUUUACAAAUUCAUAUUGUUUUAGCAUGCUUGCUAAUGUAUUUUAUAUAAGUGCACCUAAGUUAUAAGCCAUUCUCAAAUAUUAUGUUUUGAUAAACUAUAUACUAAAAAGGAAUUUAAAGUAGUUCUUGAAGUUUUGGCAUGUUACCUUCCUGUAACAAAUUCUGUAAAUAUAGGUAUGUCACAUAUUCUUAAAGAUACACCAUCAUAAAUGAGUGUAUAUUCCUAGUCAAGAGGGUUGUUACGCCUUUUUUUUAACUAGAAUUACCAAAGGUGCUAUUAAAUAUGUGACCACAGUAUGAACUUUGAGUUUUAUUUAUGUAUGUAUGUAUGUAUGUAUAUAUAUAUAUAUAUAUAUAUAUAUGUGUGUGUGUGUGUGUGUGUGUGUGUCUGUGUGUAUGUUUAUAUAGAGGGGGGUAGAAUGCUGAAAUGUGCUUUAAAUCAGUUCAGUCAAAGCAGUGCAAUCAUAUACUAAACCAUUUACAACAAAUUAUAUUUAGUGUUAUUAUAAUCAAAUGAAAUCACAGCACUUAUUUUACUUAGCAAUUCUUGCUAUGUUUUAAAACAAACUGAAAGGUGACUGUUCAUUAUGUUAAUAGAAUUAGGAAAGGCUUUUAGAGACUUUUAGACAAACUUACAGCUACUUGAUGCAUUUUUAGUUACUUCCCCAGGAAUGAGUUUUCCUGUCCUUUCUUUUCAUUCCAGAGUUCCCUGUGACAGGAAUAUGCAUUAGACACCAGGCUUUCCUUUACACUUUAUUAAAGUUGUGAUCUUUUCUCAUUACUUGUCACACAACAUAUGUUAACUUGUGUUUCCAGACUAAUAAAGUGGAAAUACAUUUACUGAAACUUAAGAGUAUAUCACAGUAUAGGUAUACUAAUCAUUUAAUGCAAAUAAUUCACAAUGUCAUUCUCCUUGCAUAUUGCAGGUGUCAUCAAGUCCAGUUAGCUUGUUACAUGAAAAUCAUGUGACCAGGAAAAGAAUAAGUCAUUUUUGGUUCACCAAAAACCUUGUCUAAGAAAUAGAUGAUCUUUCAGUUCAAGACUAUUUAGUUGCACUUUCUGCAAUAAGAAAGCUUUAUAGCUGAACUUCAUAUAGAGUUACUGGCCACAUGUGGCUCCUGAGCACUUGUACCAUGGCUGGCGUGAGUGAGGAACUGAACUUUUUAUUGAAUGUAAUUUUAAUAAAUUUAAUUUCAGUAGACACAAUGUGGUUAGCAACUUACUGGACCAUAUCACCUUCAUUGUUUUAUUAUUUCCUAAAGGUCUUAUACUUUAGAAUUAGAAUUAAAAUAUCUGAUACACCAGGCCAUUCAGUGCAUUGGAAAUGGAAUUUCUCAUUAUUGGAAGGCUUGCCUUUACAGGAAGAAAUAUAGUUUCUCCUUCUGGAGGAACCUACUUAAAAUAUGCUUUUGCUCCACCCAAAAUAGCUAAGCCAAAAAUAUAAUCUUCCUUUGGAAUGUACUAACUGGAAUUUAUUCAACAUAAAUCUGAUGAUGAAUCUGCAGAGACUUGACUGGAACACAUAUACCUGAAUUUCACCACAAGUAAACAG
rnacentral:lncRNA from 1 species